rnacentral:rRNA from 1 species
AGUGAACGCUGGCGGUAGGCCUGACACAUGCAAGUCGAACGGCAGCACAGUAAGAGCUUGCUCUUACGGGUGGCGAGUGGCGGACGGGUGAGGAAUACAUCGGAAUCUACUUUUUCGUGGGGGAUAACGUAGGGAAACUUACGCUAAUACCGCAUACGACCUACGGGUGAAAGCAGGGGAUCUUCGGACCUUGCGCGAUUGAAUGAGCCGAUGUCGGAUUAGCUAGUUGGCGGGGUAAAGGCCCACCAAGGCGACGAUCCGUAGCUGGUCUGAGAGGAUGAUCAGCCACACUGGAACUGAGACACGGUCCAGACUCCUACGGGAGGCAGCAGUGGGGAAUAUUGGACAAUGGGCGCAAGCCUGAUCCAGCCAUACCGCGUGGGUGAAGAAGGCCUUCGGGUUGUAAAGCCCUUUUGUUGGGAAAGAAAAGCAGCAGGUUAAUACCCCGCCGUUCUGACGGUACCCAAAGAAUAAGCACCGGCUAACUUCGUG